UCCGGGAGGGGAAGAUGUAAGAAAAAUUACCAACUUGACCCUUAGCCCGAGUAUCAUAUUUGGUUAUUUACUAAAAUCCCCCUUUGGAGGAGAAGGAUGGAUUGUUAGUGUGGAUGAUUUAGAAGAUAUAAUCAGAGGACAUGUAUGGUUAGGUUCCAUUUGUAUACUUGGUGGAAUCUGGCAUAUCUUAACCAAACCCUUCGCAUGGGCUCGACGCACACUUGUAUGGUCUGGAGAGGCUUACAAGGAUGGAUUCUUAUAAUUUAAUCCAUAACAAUUUUCGCAUUGAACCCACAAAUGCCUGUACUUUUGAGUUACCUCGAGAUCAUUAGAACUUUCUCUUAAACCCUCACAGGUACCCUAAGGCGAUGAGAGUUGAGACAAAAUAAAAU
rnacentral:lncRNA from 1 species